rnacentral:rRNA from 1 species
GCCAGACUCCUACGGGAGGCAGCAGUGGGGGAUAUUGCACAAUGGGGGGAACCCUGAUGCAGCGACGCCGCGUGGGUGAAGAAGUAUUUCGGUAUGUAAAGCCCUAUCGGCAGGGAAGAAAUUGGACGGUACCUGACUAAGAAGCCCCGGCUAACUACGUGCCAGCAGCCGCGGUAAUACGUAGGGGGCAAGCGUUAUCCGGAUUCACUGGGCGUAAAGGGAGCGUAGACGGCCAUGCAAGCCUGGAGUGAAAGCCCGGGGCCCAACCCCGGGACUGCUCUGGGAACUGUGCGGCUGGAGUGCGGGAGGGGCAGGCGGAAUUCCUGGUGUAGCGGUGAAAUGCGUAGAUAUCAGGAGGAACACCGGCGGCGAAGGCGGCCUGCUGGACCGCGACUGACGUUGAGGCUCGAAAGCGUGGGGAGCAAACAGGAUUAGAUACCCGCGUAGC